AGUAGGGGCAGAUGAAUGAAAGUAACUCAUAGGCACCAGUCACUGUGUUACUUCGACUACUGGGGGAAAGGAACCAAAGUCACCGUUACCUCAGCUCAACCGUCUCCGCCAAAGUCGAUCUUCGCCAUGUCCCAGUGCUCUCCUGAUUCAGACGGGUUUAUCACCAUCGGCUGCAUGGCGAGUGGUUUCUCACCCGCGGACUCUCUUUCUUUCAAAUGGACGGAUUUUGAUAAGAAAUCGUUGAGUGAUGUCGUGCAGUAUCCGGCGUUCGGGAAAGACGGAGACUAUACCAAAAUCAGCCAUCUGCGCGUGAGAAAAAGCGAUUGGGAUCCCAAAAAACCUUACCAAUGCGAAGCGUCAAAUUCUCAAGGCGCGAAAGCAUCUUCUCUUGCUCCAAAAGCCCCACCGCCAGAUCUGCGUGCAACCCUGUUCUUAACAGAACCUACAAAAAUGGAGUUAGACAAUGAAACAGCAACCUUCAUGUGUUUAGCCCAGCGGUUUUCGCCUAAUGAAUACACAUUUAAGUGGUCUCUGAAUGAUAAAGAAGUGACAAAUGUGAUAGACACAUGUGACAAAACUGAGAAGAAAGAGUCAGUAACCAAAUAUAGCGCCACAAGCAUUUUGCAAAUCAGUGCCGCAGACUGGAAGAAGCAAAAUACGAAAAUGAAGUGCGAGUUCCUGCACAAGGCGGGAAAUUUAGCAAAAGAGGCUGAAUACUCAGCUCCUUAUGUAGAGUUCAACGAAAUCACCGUUGAUAUUGUUCCUCCUUCACAUAAAGACAUGCUGAAAAACAGAACAGGAGUGCUGAAGUGCAAAGCUUCAGCAGAGUUUUUGGGAUCCUUCAAUAUAACAAUAACAGCGAAUCAUAAGGACAUUGCCAAGAAACCAUUAGAGGGACAAAAUGUGGAACUUGACGCUCCAAUAGGCUAUGAAGAAUGGAGAAACGGCACUAAAUUUACAUGCAAGGUUGAACACGAUGACCUCGCGGAGCCCACGUUGAAAACGUUCAACAGAGAAAAUGUCCCAGGAACAGCCAAGAAACCCACAGUUUACAUAUUAGCGCCCCCAGAGCACAGACCAGACGAACCGGUGACCCUGACAUGUUACGUGAAAGACUUCUACCCCAAAGAGGUGUUUGUGUCUUGGCUUGCUGACGAUGAACCUGUGACUUCUAAAUACACCACUAGCCUGCCAAUUCAGAACGAUCAAACCUUUUCAGUCUACAGUCAGCUAACAGUUAAUGCUUCCAAAUGGAAGAAUGGCACAGUGUUCAGCUGUGUCGUGUAUCACGAAAGCAUCGAUGACAAUAUGCGCGUACUGACCAGAUCUAUUACUGACGAUACUGAUAAGGCAGGUGUAAUUAAUCUAAGUAUGAAUACUGCAUCUUGCAAGGCCUAGAGCAUUGUGUAUGUGGUGUCCUCCUGUUAUGCCUGUUAAGUGCUCAUUUUGUUUUCUCCUUUUGUCUUUUGGGUUGCAUGUCCAUUUUUGUAAUCGUGUUGGUCUUUAAUGUUUGUGGCUUCUUGCUUCUUUGAGAUACUUUCUUGCACGUUGCAUUUAGGAAGAGACUAAUAAAAAAGAAACAAAGCAUAA